rnacentral:rRNA from 1 species
CGGGUGCGUAACACGUGAGCAACCUACCGAUUUGUGGGGGAUAGCCGGCCCAACGGCCGGGUAAUACCGCAUACGCUCUUUGGGCUUCAUGGCCUAUUGAGGAAACCUCCGGGGCAAAUCGAGGGGCUCGCGGCCUAUCAGCUAGUUGGCGAGGUCACGGCUCACCAAGGCGACGACGGGUAGCUGGUCUGAGAGGAUGGUCAGCCACACUGGGACUGAGACACGGCCCAG